rnacentral:rRNA from 1 species
GACGAACGCAGGCGGCGUGCCUAAUACAUGCAAGUAGAACGCUGAAGGAGGAGCUUGCUCUUCUGGAUGAGUUGCGAACGGGUGAGUAACGCGUAGGUAACCUGCCUGGUAGCGGGGGAUAACUAUUGGAAACGAUAGCUAAUACCGCAUAAGAGUAGAUGUUGCAUGACAUUUACUUAAAAGGUGCAAUUGCAUCACUACCAGAUGGACCUGCGUUGUAUUAGCUAGUUGGUGGGGUAACGGCUUACCAAGGCGACGAUACAUAGCCGACCUGAGAGGGUGAUCGGCCACACUGGGACUGAGACACGGCCCAGACUCCUACGGGAGGCAGCAGUAGGGAAUCUUCGGCAAUGGACGGAAGUCUGACCGAGCAACGCCGCGUGAGUGAAGAAGGUUUUCGGAUCGUAAAGCUCUGUUGUAAGAGAAGAACGAGUGUGAGAGUGGAAAGUUCACACUGUGACGGUAUCUUACCAGAAAGGGACGGCUAACUACGUG